rnacentral:rRNA from 1 species
CCUUACAACCAUGUCACCCUGAAUGUGCCUGAUCAUGUCAAAUCUCAGAAGCUAAGUAUGUUCGAUCUUGGAUAGUACGUAGAUGAGAUACUGCCAGGGAGGACCAAGUGUUAUAGGUA